rnacentral:rRNA from 1 species
GACGAACGCUGGCGGCGUGCUUAACACAUGCAAGUCGAGGGACCGGCGCACGGGUGAGUAACACGUAUCCAACCUGCCCUUUACUCGGGGAUAGCCUUUCGAAAGAAAGAUUAAUACCCGAUGUAAAGGAUGGGGAUGCGUUCCAUUAGGUUGUUGGUGAGGUAACGGCUCACCAAGCCUUCGAUGGAUAGGGGUUCUGAGAGGAAGGUCCCCCACAGUGGAACUGGGUCCCGGUCCUAACUCCUACGGUAGGCAGGAGUGAGGAAUAAUGGUCAAUGUGCGUUAGCCUGAACCAGCCAAGUAGCGUGAAGUAUGAAGGCUUAUGGGUCUUAAACUUCUUUUAUAUAAGAAUAUGUAUUAUAUGAAUAAGGAUCGGCUAACUGCGUGCCAGCCGCCGCGGUAAUA